GGAUAGCCCUUGGGAGCCCAGGAAAACCUACUACAGGUGACACCACAGGUGACAAGAAAUCUCCUGGCUUAUCCCAUGCUUGAAUACUCCAUCACUCAGUAUGCACUUGCAAAAAAUGCCAUUUGUGGCCAUUUAUAUUCCUCAGGCUUCCUAGUGUGCAGACUGCUGUGAACAGUGAACAUAUGGGAACAAGGUCACCUGCUAAUGGAUAGCUUUCUCCAGUCAGACUUUAAAAGUUGUUGCUAGAAGAAUAAAAUAGCAACCCGAACUCAGACUAUAAACAAGUCAGUCAAGGGAACAGCUCCUGAGUGAAGCUGCUUCCUCUGCCCUGCUCUGUUGCUCCUGGUGCCGGGUUUCUAUGUUUGAGGACACAUUUAAACAGCCAUCCUGCCAAAAAGUGCCUUACCCUCAUGAAGAGAGGGCAUGGGAAGAGCAACUCUGGGCUCUGCACCACCAUGGCAGCAUCUCCAGGCC